AUCCCGUAUUUUCAUACGUUGGAAAGUGUGCUAGUGAAAUGACAUUAGUAAGGGACACGAGGUUAUCCCCCAAGCUUAUAGGUGGUUAAAGUGAUGGAACACAUUUAUCGUAAGGAUUUGAAGUUAAACCAAUCGAAGAAAAUAAAUUUUGUCGAGUUUCAACAUUUAUUGGAGUAAAAUACGGUCCAAGCUAUAAUACCUCGUAUUUCUUUUUGCCUAGAACAUUUAAUGGUCCAACAUGAGUAAAUUUACCCGAGUCCGGAAAUUUGGUCAUAUUCAAAAAAAAAAAAAAAAAAAAAAAAAACGAAGGUGAGAUUGGUGUAUAAAAGGAUGAGGUCCUGAAAUGAUUUAGGACUUAAAAGUGUGAUGACGGUGUUUCGAAAUAAUAUUUCGGGUAUGCCAAAAGAGGUUAUGACUACCAUAUCACAUGAUUAUGAUAAUGAGUUUAUGAAGUGUGUUCAAAAUAAUUAUUACUUAAGAGAAUUGAGAUCAAGAAAUUAAUUAUGCGGUGAAAGGUUAAAUAAGGAAUUUAUUUGUGGUAUUAGUUUGGGCUACGGACAGGUGUUUUUGGAAACUAACGUGUACACACAUAAAAAGGGGUCAACUAAUGACUAAGGUACAUAUAAAGUGAAUUGCUUUACACGUUAUCAAAUCCACUAAGUAGAUGAAAAUUUUCUCUUUCCACUAAUUUGUAUGGUAUUUAUCUUCUUCAUAUUAAACAAUUAUGGAUCAUUUGCCAAGUACCUUCUCCAUAGCUGGAACGUCCUUGCCCAUACUCAAAUGGAGGAGAAAAUAUUCUCAAACUACAGCAACGUUAGCUACAAUAUUAAAGAAGCAAGCAAAUCAUUUUUUUUUCUUCUUCAAGAACAACAUACGGAUUUGUGCAUCGCUUCGGUUUCGUUGUUCCGUUUUAUUGCGUUGUUGAAUUCGGGCUAUUCUUCGAAGGGAAGUAAAGUGGAAAAAGAUCAUUUCUUGAUAUAUAAGGCUAAAGGAGCGACGGAGUAAGCUUGGUUACGGUUGAUCUACGACAGGUACAGAGGUUCGUGAUCCGCCAGUGUAGGCCACAUAUUCAGCUAUCACAGAGUGCUCCUUUUGAUUCGGAGCCCAUAUGUUGGUACAUAUCUUUUAUGGUGUAUAUGUCUCCGUAUAUUUGACUGUUUGGGGUACGGCGGGGCCCUGUCCCGUCAUAUGAUUCCGAUAUCGUUUGUAGAGGCCUGUAGUCAUAUAUGUGGGUCAUGGGUCAUGUGUGUGUUUGUUUGGGUAUGACCUGCGUCUUAGUGCGGUCCCGUUUGCUAUUAUGGCCAAAACGGCCCAUUUGUCUGUAUACGUGUAUGUAUCUGGCGAUGUACAUUCCGCCAACCUAUCAGAUUUGGAUACGGCCAGAAUGGCCUGUAUAUUUGUAUAUGUGCAUAUAAUCGGCGAUGUAUAUUCCGCCGCCUCUUUUGGUUUUGAUAUGAUAUUUUGUGCGCGAAAUCGCGUAAGAUAACAUUUGUU